GGCGCAGUCGAACCAUCACCGUGACAGACUUCGGAACGCCGAUGCACGUAGCCACCAGGAGUAGGUAAUUGCAGCACGUCGAGCGGUGCCGAGUAACACCAUAGGGUGAAUGUGGGAGUUGAGUGCGAUUCGAUGCGAAACAAUGAACGAGUCGUGAAGAUUAAUUUCAUACGAUCGUGAAUUGUAAGUCAGACAAUUCUCCACGUAGCACGUCGUUACUCUCUCGUAUCGUCCCACGAUCCAUAGGAUCACGAUCAAAUCGUAGAAGCCGUCGAUCCGUAACCGAUAAAGAAAGAAGCAAUCGACGAAACACGAUCAUCCUUGAGAGCUGUAAAAAUACCUAUAGGUAAUCGAUUUCGAGUAAGUCAAAGACGUCAGAAGACGACUAAGGAAUCUUCCAGCUGGUACAACUUUGCUCGAUGAAAGAGAGAAGAAAAAAAGUAUACGAAGUCAACGCAUGAAAGAAGGAAGGAGACAGAACGAAAGAGAUAUGUAUAUGGGCCUAAGGGUUAAAAGGGGGGUCAGGGGGUGUCCCCCGUGGAAGUCCGUGGUAAUACGCUUUUUUUCGAGCAAGCAUAAUUUUCAGCAUUGGUUUUUUCGUUCGUGGGGCCCGAGCCAUAAAUAAAUGUUGUUUUUACGGCUGCCAA